GUAUGGGUUGGAUUUAUGGCAGGCCCAUCCCCCUGGGCCUUUCAUAAUGUCAGUUUGCCAGAGCAAAUUGUGGUCCCGAACCAUAGCCAGGCCUCUACCUGUAGGCUAUUGGCACUACAGGGGUUGCACAGAG